ensembl:snRNA U5 U5 spliceosomal RNA
CAGCUCGAGUUUCUCUUCAUUGUCGCAUAAAUCUUUCGCCUUUUACUAAAGAUUUCCGUGGAGGGGAACUUUUGCGAGUGAUCUGUA